rnacentral:lncRNA from 1 species
AGGGAAUCGGGGACCUCCGUGAGCGCGACACACUUCUUUGGGCUCCUACCAGCAACCUGACAAUCGUUCCCUUGCCUGCUCGGGAGGCUGAUUGCAACUCUUCAGCUGAUAAAUAACCCUGACUAGCGUGAAUCAAAGGGCUGCACUAUUGAAAGAGAAGAGUUGAUAAGGCUUCUAUAAUCUUCUAUGGCUACAAUCACAGGGCUCGAAAGCUGAGCAGGGCAUUCCCCAACGUGAUGACCAUCCUGUUCUCGUUCGAAGAUUUUCUACAAGCUGGGACUCGGCUGGCCUGAUUCUGCGGCCGCUUCGAGAAGACCUGUCUGCAUCACCAGGGCAUCCGACAAAGUCUCCUUGGACUCCCUAGGUUUCGGCACAGGAAGGCCAGGAAUCCCUGUGCUCAUCUGGGCAAUACUUAUAACACUUCCCGCUACCCAGGGGCAGGGAAAUUCCCUACCAUUUUGAAAGUCAAGGCUACGUAGUGAUCUCAGUCUUCCAGAGUUGGCCUCCCCGCAGAAUCUGCCAUCUUCAACGGAGGAGUUCCCCUGAGGCUGGAGAACAUCAUCGACUUUCUGUCUGCCUCAAGAGAAGCAGAGUGCUGCCUGUCUAUAGACAUUUACGCUAUUUCUACAAAUGCAAACUGUAUGUCUACACAGAGCUUGGAGACUGGGGGUGGGAAGGGAGUAACUCAGCUUGAAUCUAUUUUUGGCCAGAUCAAAUUUAGAGGAAGAAUGCCACUUUCAUUAUUAUUGGGAUGAUGACUACUUUUUGAGGGAGUAGCUGUGCUAGUGCCUUGGGAUGAGCGACACUUGGUCAGCACGAGCAUGCACGAGCACACCGUCCAUUCUACAUUUAUGGAGGGACAAAAGGGUGGUUUAAGUAAAGUUUUAGGAUCAUAAGCAUACACACAGAAAGUCAGAGAUGAUGACGACAAAUUAAUCACAGUUGUGGCCAAGCCACAUUUUCCAACAAAGCUGCCAGCUGCCACUGUCUGUGGCAUAUCUGGAACUCUUCUUUUUGCUAUUUUUAAAAAAGAUUUGUUUAUUUAUUUGAGAGAGAGAGAGAAGGUAGAGCAUGAG